rnacentral:rRNA from 1 species
UAAUACGGAGGGUGCGAGCGUUAUCCGGAUUUACUGGGUUUAAAGGGUGUGUAGGCGGGCUGGUAAGUCAGGGGUGAAAUCCCGGAGCUCAACUCCGGAACUGCCUUUGAUACUACUGGUCUUGAAUAUUGUUGAGGUGGGCGGAAUGUGUCAUGUAGCGGUGAAAUGCAUAGAUAUGACACAGAACACCGAUUGCGAAGGCAGCUCACUGGGCAAUGAUUGACGCUGAGGCACGAAAGCGUGGGGAUCAAACAGGAUUAGAUACCCUGGUAGUCCACGCCCUAAACGAUGAUUACUGGACGUUGGCGAUAUGACCGAUCAGCGUCUUUGAUAAGCGAAAGCAUUAAGUAAUCCACCUGGGAAGUACGACCGCAAGGUUG